rnacentral:rRNA from 1 species
GGGUUGUGAGGUUAAGCGACUAAGCGUACACGGUGGAUGCCCUGGCAGUCAGAGGCGAUGAAGGACGUGCUAAUCUGCGAAAAGCGUCGGUAAGGUGAUAUGAACCGUUAUAACCGGCGAUGUCCGAAUGGGGAAACCCAGUGCAAUUCGUUGCACUAUCGUUAACUGAAUACAUAGGUUAACGAGGCGAACCGGGGGAACUGAAACA